rnacentral:rRNA from 1 species
CCCCUACGGGAGGCAGCAGUGAGGAAUAUUGGACAAUGGAGGAGACUCUGAUCCAGCAAUUCUGUGUGCACGAAGACGGUUUUCGAAUUGUAAAGUGCUUUCAGCAGGGAAGAAGAAAGUGACGGUACCUGCAGAAGAAGCGACGGCUAAAUACGUGCCAGCAGCCGCGGUAAUGGGG